rnacentral:rRNA from 1 species
GCAGGGAAUCUUGCGCAAUGGGCUAAAAGGCCUGACGCAGCGACACCGCGUGGGGGAAGAAGGCUUUCGGGUUGUAAACCCCUUUUCUCGAGGAAGAGUGAGGACGGUACUCGAGGAAUAAGCCUCGGCUAACUACGUGCCAGCAGCCGCGGUAACACGUGGGAGGCGAGCGUUGUCCGGAUUUACUGGGCGUAAAGGGCGAGUAGGCGGCCCGCCAAGUCUCAUGUGAAAUCUCCCGGCUUAACUGGGAGGGGUCAUGGGAAACUGGCGAGCUUGAGGGCAGCAGAGGAAAGUGGAAUUCCCGGAGUAGUGGUGAAAUGCUUAGAUACCGGGAGGAACACCCGUGGCGAAGGCGGCUUUCUGGGCUGUCCCUGACGCUGAGGCGCGAAAGCAUGGGGAGCAAACCGG